CUGGGCCGGCGCGGUGGCGGCGCCGGCGCGGACGGCGUCGGCGGCGGGCUGGGGCUCGUCGACGGUACGGCCGUCGGCCCAGCC
rnacentral:tRNA from 1 species